UACGGUGGAGGGCGAGCGUUGUCCGGAAUCAUUGGGCGUAAAGAGCGUGUAGGCGGCUUGGCAAGUCUGACGUGAAAGCCCGCGGCUCAACCGCGGAUUGUCGUUGGAAACUGCCUCGCUAGAGUCCGGAAGAGGAGAGCGGAAUUCCGUGGUCGUAGCGGUGGAAUGCGCAGAUAUCAGGAAGAACACCCGUGGCGAAGGCGGCUCUCUGGGACGGUACUGACGCUGAGACGCGAAAGCGUGGGGAGCGAACAGG
rnacentral:rRNA from 1 species